GGUUGGCGCGGAUCGACGUCCGUCGCGCAUGAUCGACUUCGAGCUGCAGCGGCGUGUCGAGCUUCACCGUGCCCUGCUCGACUGUGCCGAGAUGCACGUAAAGAUCGCCCGCCUUUUUCUGCGUAUCGGUAACGCGCACGCGCACGCCGUCGCCGCUCAGGAUGCCGGUGUCGCCGACCUGACCGCCGGAUUCGGCGUAGAACGGCGUCUGGUUCAUGACGAUCGCGAUGCUGUCGCCAGC
rnacentral:misc_RNA from 1 species